UACGAAGGGGGCGAGCGUUGUUCGGAAUUACUGGGCGUAAAGGGCGCGUAGGCGGCGACCCAAGUCAGAUGUGAAAGUCCUGGGCUUAACCUGGGGACUGCAUUUGAUACUGGGUUGCUUGAAUUCGGGAGGAGGAUAGUCGGAAUUCCCAGUGUAGAGGUGAAAUUCGUAGAUAUGGGAAGAACACCGGUGGCGAAGGCGGCAUCGUGGACCGACAUUGACGC
rnacentral:rRNA from 1 species